AGCGAACGCUGGCGGCAGGCCUAACACAUGCAAGUCGAACGGACCCUUCGGGGUUAGUGGCGGACGGGUGAGUAACACGUGGGAACGUGCCUUUAGGUUCGGAAUAGCUCCUGGAAACGGGUGGUAAUGCUGAAUGUGCCCUUCGGGGGAAAGAUUUAUCGCCUUUAGAGCGGCCCGCGUCUGAUUAGCUAGUUGGUGGGGUAAUGGCCCACCAAGGCUACGAUCAGCAGCUGGUUCGAGAGGAUGACCAGCCACAUUGGGACUGAGACACGGCCCAAACUCCUGCGGGAGGCAGCAGUGGGGAAUGUUGCGCAAUGGGCGAAAGCCUGACGCAGCCAUGCCGCGUGUAUGAUGAAGGUCUUAGGAUUGUAAAAUACUUUCACCGGUGAAGAUAAUGACUGUAGCCGGAGAAGAAGCCCCGGCUAACUUCGUGCCAGCCGCCGCGGUAA
rnacentral:rRNA from 1 species